UGCCGCCCUGCCGUCCUUCGCUCCUCUUUUUCUGCCUUCCUCCGUAUUGCCAGAGCUUCCUGCCUCAGCAGGGCAGGGCUUGCCUGAGGAAACCGGAGAGAGAGAGAGAAAAGGCGUUCGUUAGAGAUAUCUCACGUCUCGUGGGGUAAUUACAGCCCCGCUAGAUCGCUGAACACAAAGGUGUCCUUUAGAGACGAGGAUUGCCUAAAUUAAUGAUGAAAUGCUAAUUAAUGGCAACCAGCAGGAAGUUCUCCAGGGAGCAGUAUGGAGUGCACAAGCAGUGAGACUUUGGUUCAGUUCCCUACCUUGCGUGCAAUAUUGGUGCUUCCUGGAGUCAUAGCUCCCCAUAUAUAAACCAAGGAUAACAGUAUCUCCCUAGAGAGACUGGUCUGAAAAUACACUAAGGACUGUGUGACAAUGUAGGACCAACCUCUGUAAGGCCUACUGAUAAAAAGCAGUACAUAAAAGCCACCCAGGUGUUA